UAGAAUGUAGUGUACAGGUAGCACAGGGAAUUUUGAGUUCUCUAGGUUAGGUUCGAUUCCUAUUAUUCUAG
rnacentral:tRNA from 1 species